rnacentral:rRNA from 1 species
GACGAACGCUGGCGGCGUGCUUAACACAUGCAAGUCGAACGGAAAGGCCCCUUUGGGGGUACUCGAGUGGCGAACGGGUGAGUAACACGUGAGUAACCUGCCCUUGACUUCGGGAUAACUUCCGGCAACUGGGGGUAAUACCGGCUAGGAAUCCUUGCUUCCUGGUGGGGGGUGGAUAGCUUUGUGGGUUUGGGAUGGACGCGCGGCUUAUCAGCUUGUUUGUGGGGGAGGGGCUUACCUAGGCUUUGACGGGUAGCCGGCCUGAGUGGGAGACCGGCCCCAUUGGGACUGGGAUUCGGCCCAGACUCCUUCCGGGGGGAGGAGGUGGGAAUAAUGCACAAUGGGCGGGAGCCUGAUGCAGCAACGGCGCGGGCGGGAUUACGGGCUUCGGGUUGGAAACCGCUUUCAGCAGGGGCGAAGCUUGUGGUGACGGUACCUGCAGAAGAAGCACCGGCUAACUACGUG